CUACUGCAGGUUUUUGAACAUAUUAAUAUUUAUUUAGCCCAGGAUUCAUCCCACCCUACAUUUGCCUGAGGUGUCUGACUCUGGAGCACAGACAUCCUCGGGCUCCCUCUGUUGAUGAUGCAGCGAAGCACCUGCAGAAGGUGACCCAGCUCUCAGGAAAGACAUUUGAGCUAUGCAGAGAACUUGCAGCCAAAUUCCCCUGGGAGCACAGUGCAUGGACUUGGGUGUUCAAAAUGAAUAGGACACUCUGGAGAGAGAGGGGACACUUUGCUGCUGCACCACGUGUGCUGGGUUGGUCUGCCAGCACUGGAGACCUAAGGAGACACUCUCAGCAGGAUCCCAGAGCUAAGGACAGGCAGAGGAUGUGCCUCAGAGCAUGUGGUCUCUGAUGCUAAUGAAGUUGCUGCUUUGUUUGCUGCCUCCACUGAAUUUUUGUCUCUUUUCCACCAAGGACACCACUGUUCAUCCUGUGGAGCAUGAGGAACUUCAUGAAAGCUUCUUGUCAGCUUUCCCCAUGAUUUUCUUGGAUUGAGCCCAUUUUCUUCUUCUUAGAAGAACACAAAGUGGGGAGAGGUGUAUCUUCUGCACACCUGCUGGAGCAGACAUGAACAGGAGAAGACAGGUCAAGAGACAGAGUCCAGCCAAGCCUGAGGUUCCUCAGAUGUGAACAGAGAAGGGAAGAUGUGCUUUAAAAGAGAAUAAUGGAAUCAUUAAGAUUGGAAAAGACCUCUAAGAUCAUUGAGUCCAGCCACUAACCUAACACUGCCAGGGCCACCACUAAACCAUGUCCCAUAGAACCACACCUACAUGCUUUUUCAGAACUUCCAGGAACUGUUACUCCACCAUUCUCUGGACAGGCUGUUCCAGUGCUUCAGCAUCCUUUCAGUAAAGAAAUUUUUCCUAAUAUCCAAUUGAAGUCUUAAUUGGUAUCUUCUGGGCUUGUUCUUUCUCUCGUGUUCUUGAUAUCAUGGGAGUGUUCAGAGUCUAGAAUGGGGAUGAUGUGUCCUGAGUUGCUCAGACAAGUUAGACCAACACUCUGCCACAGGAGUUGUGUGCAAGGCUUUUGGGACAAUGGGAGAAGAAGCUUCUUUGAAAGCAAGCAAGCAGUUAUGUGCCUAAUGAGCCCAAAGUCUGCCUGGCAUCCCUUACUGUAACAGUCUGGCAUCUCUUACUGCAACAGCCUGCAAAUCAUUAUCGGUAUUUUUAGGUCCCUGACAGCUCUAACAACCUGGCUAGGGCUGCCUAAAUCAAUACUGAAAAUGAGAAUCAGGUCCUUUAGUCACACCAACACAAUUCAUCCUACCUGAUCUACCCCGGUGCAGUUAAGCCUUUAGCUGCAGCAACAGCUCAGAGCUGACUGUGUGCCUGGGGCAGAAGGACACACGGCCAGAAGGUGAUUUUCCUCUUCCCAGGAUGUGUAUCCAGGUCAGGACUGACAUAUGACCUGCUGGAGUGUCUUUUCUCUGUCCUUUGUGAAGCAGCCUUGAAGAUUUCAGCUGUCUCAAAGUGGGGUGUGGGUUUAAGGCUCGCAGCUUGUAGGUGGAUAAAAUUAGAUAAAGUGAACCUUCCACAUAGAUACUGCUACAAGAUUUACCCUGUGUUUUAAAAUAGUUCUGCAUAAAUAACGCUGGGGAAUGACACAACCCAGGUCUACAAGGCAUUAGCACUCUUGGGCACGCUGCACAUUUCACAGGGAAUGCUGUUAGCAGCAGGGAAAAGGCCACGCCAGACCUUCACAUCUAAGCAUGCUCAAGUUGCAGAAAAAUCUGGAUCUGGAGGAGGAUCUGAAGUUUCCUUCUGACCUUUAUCUUCACAAGGAGCCAAACCAUUCUGUCUAGCAUUGCUGAGCCUAUAGUUCCCUAACUACUUCAAUCCAGCUGCUUCAACCCUGGGUCCACCUCAGCUACAAGUGGCUCCAGAUGAGUAAUUCUGAUCUUUAUGAAUAUGCAGCUCACAGUGCUUCUGCAGGGCUCUCCUAGACCUCAUCUUCUAUACUUUGGAUUCAACAGAGAACAAUCUGGCCUCUAGUAUACCCUGGAUUAUGUUUAUAGAAGAGAUGUGGUGCAAAAUGUCCAUACAAAGAUAUUAGCUGGCAGAAUGGCCCCAGCAACAUCAACAUUUGCUAGGGAGAUGCUGCAUGGAGGGAAUGGACAUCUACUGCUGUAUUGCUGUGCCUUCCUCAGCCACCACUCUUCCUCUGAGAGAUGCUAAUGGCAUGUUUUACCCCUCACAAGUAAAUCACAUUUGUAAACAAUAAUUAAUACUAAUAAUUUUUUAAAAAUUCAACCACUGU
ensembl:lncRNA